CCUUUCUUUUCCUUUUUUCCCCGCUGUGCCUGAAUCUCCCGGGACACUUAGACGGCUGGAGCCUCCCGACUCCAAGGCGGGCGACGGCAAAGUUAAACGCCAGCGCGCUGCGGUCCCCGGGCACCGAGGCGUCCCCGCUCCCGCCACCCACACAGGGCGCCAAGUGCCCCGACCCGCGAGUGACGAGGACGCACAGCCUGGAAGCCUCGCGGCCCUCCAGAUGGACUCGGAGCGCCCCUGGAGGCUACAGUGACCUAAGCUCUAGGAAGGCCGGGUCCUGGACGCCGCGUGCUGCUGUCCGCCGCCGACCGGUGUCCUCGCAGAGAUAACCUGGCUGAACUCACCGCCCAGCGCUAUGUCAGUUCUCCCUCAUGACAACCCAAAACUUGACCGGAUUUGUGUUCUGCAGAGAGGAAAAAAAAAAGCGGCCACCGAACACCAGUGCAGUAGCCAGGAUGGGCCUGUGGCUCUGGCUGCAGCCUCCAGGGACACCAGCUGGAGAGAAGGAAGCCACGCAUGGAGAGCGGCCAGGCUCAAAAUAUCUUAAAGAAAAUGGAACUCGGAGUCAGUCAUCUGUUCUCAACGUGGUCAUCUCAAAAAUAUGAGCACACGGAAGUUUUCUUCCUUCUUGUCAGUUUUGAGUCCAAUAUCAAUACUGUUGUCCUGUGAAAGAUUUUAAGAUUUAAAUGUUUUUUCAUGUAAUUUCCUGAUGUCUUGAUUGUUGCUUCUAUUUUGUUCAUCAAAACCAAACAGAGUGGAGGUUGCUCUGGGGCUGGAUGGAUGGCCAGUCAUUAAAAUCAAUGCCUUAUUAGUCUGCCUUAAAAAAAAAAAAAA
rnacentral:lncRNA from 1 species